GCCUCUUUCUUUGCCAAGGAGGAGACGAUAGAGACCGAGCGGUCUUCCGGGCUCGUUCCCUCUUCCCCUCUGGCUUCAUUCUACGGUUAGGGUUUCUCGAUUCCCCUGGCGAUGGAUCUCGGAGACCUCAACAAGGUAUGGGAGAUUAAAACCCUCAAGAAGCCCGGCGAGGAGGAGGCCCGCCGGAUGCUCGAGCGGGUGGCGAAGCAGGUCCAGCCGAUCAUGCGGCGGCGCAAAUGGAAGGUCAAGAAACUCUCAGAGUUCUGUCCGAUCAAAUUGGCGCUUCUGGGGCUAAACGUAGGGGGAGGCGCCGAGGUGAAGCUCCGGCUUCGGAGGCCCAACAGGGACUGGGACUUCCUCCCCUUCGAGCAAGUCCUGGACACGAUGCUCCACGAACUGUGCCACAUCGAACACGGCCCUCACAACGCCCAAUUCUACAAGCUCUGGGACGAAAUCCGCAAGGAAUGCGAGGAACUGAUGGCCAAGGGUACAACUGGCACUGGACAGGGAUUUGAUGCUCCUGGAAGACGUCUGGGUGGGUAUACUCUCCAGCGCCCAUUGUCAUCACUUCGGCAAACUGCAGUGGCUGCGGCACAAAAACGGGCACGUAUCGGACCGCUACUGCCAUCUGGGCCACAACGAUUAGGGGGAAAUGGUGACAUUAUGACUGCACUUAGUCCAAUACAAGCCGCUGCCAUGGCUGCAGAGAGGAGAAUGUAUGAUGAUUUGUGGUGUGGAUCUGGGCACAGCAACAUCGCCAGUGAAGUAGAUAGUAGCAGUGGCAUGUCAAAGGAACCUGCGUUUACAAAAUCAGAGGAACCUUCAAAAUCUUCCAAUGGGGUACCACAAGGCAAAAACAGUGCAUUAGAGGAUUCUACUUUCAGUGGCAGAGCACCACUAUCUGGUGGUUCAUCUUCCCAAGGCACAACAGAUGAUACAGAAGAUCAAGUGAUUUGGGAGUGCAGUGUGUGCACUCUUUUUAAUCAGCCUCUGGCACCAGUUUGUGAAGCUUGUGGCACACAAAAACCUAAAGAUGUUGGAUCGAAAUUCGAGACCUGGUCAUGUAAAUUUUGUACCUUGGAGAAUAGUGUUAAGUUAGAGAAGUGUUCAGCAUGUGAUCAGUGGAGGUAUUCAUAUGGUCCACCGGUAUCCACUCCUGGUCCCAAUUAUGGCACUUGAAGAUGCACUGCAGUUCACUAGCAUAAAUGGAUGAUGAUAUCUAGCUAUUUCUGACAAUAGAAAAUAUGUUUGGUUCUCUCUCUCUCUCUCUCUCUCUCUCUCUCUCUCUCUCUCAACUACGAGAGGAGUUGCUUGACCAUGUUAAGGCCAAGAGGCAGAGCUGGGAGGAGUUGCUGGAUCAUGUUGAGGUUGAGAGCUCUCAUCAUAGUGGCCGCAAUAAGAAGAUCAUCAUCGAGGAGGGCGACAUCCUACCGCUGCUUGCUGGAGGUAAUAUCGGGAUGGAAUGAAAGAGAUAAGUAACACAAUUUGCAAAAGAAAAAGCAAAAGGAAAAAAAAGAAAAACUCUUCUUUCUCAAUAUAAAAAUAAAUUUAAUUUAAAAUAGAUUACCUUUCAUUAUAUAGAUUAAUUUUUAUAUAUAAAUGCAGCAUAUGUUUCUUUGAAAUAUUAAUGAUGGAGCAGAGUACAUGGGACAGCUGAUUUACAGCUGAUUUGGUUGCCUCACCUAAAUCUUGAAUCAUUAAAAACUAAGAAAAAGGGGAAAAAGAAGAAAAAUCAUUCAUUUUUCCCACGAUGGAAAGAGGACGUGAUGGUUGGCAGCAGCGGUGAUAUGGAAACGGCCGAGAAGAAGCCGGGGCUGGCAGCACGACCAGGUGGGAGGGGGCUGUAGUGGAGGGGUGGGGAGUUAGGGUGGGAAGGAGAUGACCCACUUAAAAAAAUGGAAGCAAAAAUUUCUUACUUCCAAGUUUUUUUCACAAAUAAUGAAAGUUUUUUUUUUAAAAAAAAAAAGAAACAGGAUAACCAAAUGUGUUUUCUACAUUGGUUUCAAUGUGUCUGUUUGAGAAAAAAAAAAAGGAAAAAAGGGUACCAAACAGGGCCUAAGUAAUCUAAAGCUUCAGGUAUUUUCUUCAUGGAAAAUAGAAACAGAAAUAGGAUAACCAAACAUAUUUUUUUGUAUUGGAUUCCGUAUAUCUGUUUUGAAAAAGAAGAAACAUGAAAAAAACAACAGUUCCUAACUGGGCCUUCUUUUUUUUUUUUUUUAAUCCUGUUGAUCUUAUUUUAUAAUGGAUGUGCUUCUGCUUGGAAGAUGAUUGUUUAUCUGCUUUCCUUAAAUAUGUCUGGCCAUUAAUUUUUUUUCAAACCUGAUGGGAAAAAGAUCUGGAUGUAAGAUUAUGGUUUUGCAGAUGUGUGAAUAUGUAGUUUCUGCAUAUAGUUUAAAGGAACGAAAUGUUCACUGAUGUGUUCCUUGACGUUCCAUUGAAAUGUGUCAUCUGCUGUGAAGAUACUACUGUAUGUGGCUACGCCUCUACAAGGUGUGCUCUUGGUUCUCGUGAAGCUCUCUGUUUGCCAGCAUGUUAUAUGUAUGCAUUAUAUUCAUGUUCACCUUGAAUGGUGACAACUGAUGUGUUAUUGCUAACCUUUGUCACUGCAAGAAUUGUUUUCAUGCAUUUAAAAAAAAAUUAUGCUAUCUGACUUCUGCCAGGAAAUCAUCUCUACUAGCAUUUGGGCAGGUCCUUGAUGGUCUAUCUUCAUGUCAAGGAGAUGUGCAAUCCACGUUAUUUCAAAGAUUUAAAUGCUCCAGUUUACGCUGAUUAUAACUAGCCUAGGGAUACAAAAUUCAUUGCUCUAAAUUUGGAGGGGAGCAAUGGUUUAUUUAAUAAGGGAUAUGUGUCUCUGUCCCUGAUAUCAUAUUUAACCAUGUCUGCCAUCAAAAAAAAAAGAAAAAAAUUAACCAUGUCUAAAGGUCUGGAGUCUGGAGUUUGAUGCUGGCAUUUAGGUUAGUAAUGCGCGGAAGGGUGCGCUUUAUUUGUGCAAGCCAUGGCCUGCUAGAAUUGGAUUCGAGACACUAUCUUGUGUGUUUUCUUUUUGAUUAACUUUAUAUUUAAUUGGAGAGAGUUGGGCUCUGGAGUAGGAAUGGAAAUAAGUGUAGGAAUGGGAAUAAGUGACUCUCACUCCAGCCAUUUGGUUGGAGGGAGUUCCAUUUCCAUACCUAUUCCGAGGGAAACAGCAAUGCCUAAUACCAGCUCACUUCCUAAUAUUCAAAUCCCAUGUUGUUAGCGGUUUAGUUGAAAAAAUUAGGGCCUGUUUGGAUUUUUCUGCAGGAUUAUGUAGAAUUCGUGGAUUGAGCCAGUACAAUCAACAAGAUCACAAGCUACAAGCUGAGCUAGGCCUGUAUUUAUGAAAUACUAAGAAAUACCUUUAGAGUGGGCCAGCCCGAAUCCCAUAGGGAGAAACUUUUUUCUUUCUAUAGGCCGGCCCACUCCAAAGCUAUUCUUGCAUAUUUUGCCAAUCUAGCUAGUAGCUUGUGAUCUUGUUGGUUGUACUAGCCCAAUCCACAAAGCCUACAGGAUUUUCAGCCCAGCUCCGAAAGAAAAUCCAAACAAGCUCCAAGGAUUUUCUAAAAAUACUUCUCUAUUUAAUUGAUUUCCAAAAAUUUAACUUGAUUCUGAUUCCAGUUAUGAACCAAUACGCCAAGGAAUAUGUCUAUUUCGAUUCAUUCCAAUCUAUUUUGAUUCCGAUUUCGGUCUUGAACUAAACGCACCUAAAUGAAGUUAUUCUUGUUUUUAGUAAGUGAGCUGAUACAAAAGUGUGCCAAUGGUCUUACAACAGUGCCUACCAUUGUGGACCAUACCGUAGAUCCUUACAACGAACAGAAUACUUUUGAGAUAUUGGCCUUAAAUGUUGUUAAAUUUCUUUAUUGAUCUCGCAUUUAGCAGUAAUUGAAGCAACUCAUGGUCCUCACUAACAGGUCCACCCUCCAUUAAAGCUUUUUGAUCUGGAGCAAACAUCUUAUUUAUCAUUCCUUUUUUGUGAUUCAUUUUUACAGAUUCUGCCAUAUGUGAAGGUUGGGCUAUGAAUUGGUUGAUUAUUUAACCUUAAUCAUUUUGUUCUGAACCAACCUCUUAUGUGGGCUUUGUUGCAUUCAUCGGAGACUACAUCUCAUGGCUGCAAGAAUUAAGCUGAUUCAGUGAUGGAGUUGAGAGAAGCUUUAUUCUCUUGCUGCACUGGAGUAUGUUUUGCUUGUUUUCUGAUUGGUUUCAUGUAUGCAUAUACACCGAAUAUGCUGUGCAUUUUAUGUUUCACUAUCCCUAUCAAAUUGAGAUGACAAUCUUUUGAUAUCAAAAAUAUUAAAUAUCAUGAAUGGUGGUUGUUGUAUAUCAA